GACGAACGCUGGCGGCGUGCUUAACACAUGCAAGUCGAACGGAAAGGCCCUGCUUUUGUGGGGUGCUCGAGUGGCGAACGGGUGAGUAACACGUGAGUAACCUGCCCUUGACUUUGGGAUAACUUCAGGAAACUGGGGCUAAUACCGGAUAGGAGCUCCUGCUGCAGGGGGGGGGUUGGAAAGUUUCGGCGGUUGGGGAUGGACUCGCGGCUUAUCAGCUUGUUGGUGGGGUAGUGGCUUACCAAGGCUUUGACGGGUAGCCGGCCGGAGAGGGUGACCGGCCUCAUUGGGACUUGGCUACCGCCCAGACUCCUACGGGAGGCAGCAGUGGGGAAUUUUGCACCAUUGGCCGCAGCCUGAUUCAGCAACGCCGCGUUCGGGAUGACGGCCUUCGGGUUGUUAACCGCUUUCGCCUGUGACGAAGCGUGCGUGACGGUAAUGGGUAAAAAAGCACCGGCUAACUACGUG
rnacentral:rRNA from 1 species